GUUAUACUGUAAGGGUAAAGAAAUUUAAUUUUUAAUUGAGAAGUUGAAAAAGGAAAGGAAAAAUUUUCUUUUAAGGUAGAAUUAGAAGAGGAUAAUUCUUUCAAAAUUUAAGCUUUAGAAAUUCAAAAGUGAAACUAGGAUUAGAUACCCUAUUAUUAUUGAGAUAAAGAAAAUUAGGUAGUAGUAGAUGUCUUGAAACUUAAAGAAUUUGGCGGUGUUUUAAUCUUACCAGAGGAACUUGCGUUAUAACUCGAAAUUACUCGUCUAAUCUUACUUGAAUUUAGUUUGUAUAUCGUCGUAAAAAUAAAACUUUAAAGUGUAUAUUUAAAAUUAUUAAAUUAAAAAUUACAGAUCAAGGUUCAGCUGUAUUUAAGAAAACGUGAGUUACAAUAUUUUAGAAGUAAAUGGAUAAUUUUUUGGAAGAAGAAUUUGAAGGUGGAUUUGGAAGUAUGUUGAGAUGAAU
rnacentral:rRNA from 1 species